UAGGGAAUCUUCCACAAUGGACGAAAGUCUGAUGGAGCAACGCCGUGUGAGUGAAGAAGGGCUUCGGCUCGUAAAACUCUGUUGUUAAAGAAGAACAUAUCUGAGAGUAACUGUUCAGGUAUUGACGGUAUUUAACCAGAAAGCCACGGCUAACUACGUGCCAG
rnacentral:rRNA from 1 species